UACGUAGGCAGCAAGCGUUGUUCGGAAUUACUGGGCGUAAAGGGCUCGUAGGUGGCCAACUAAGUCAGACGUGAAAUCCCUCGGCUUAACCGGGGAACUGCGUCUGAUACUGGAUGGCUUGAGAUUGGGAGAGGGACGCGGAAUUCCAGGUGUAGCGGUGAAAUGCGUAGAUAUCUGGAGGAACACCGGUGGCGAAGGCGGCGUCCUGGACCAACACUGACACUGAGGAGCGAAAGCCAGGGGAGCAAACGGG
rnacentral:rRNA from 1 species